UGUGAAUUUAAUUAUUAUAAGAUACGGUCUUUAAAUUUGAAGAAUUUGGCGGUAAUUUAGUCUUUCCAGAGGAACCUGUUUCGUAAUCGAUAAACCACGAAUAAUCUUAUUUGUUUAAGUUUAAAUUACAAGUUUGUAUACCGUCAUUAUUAGAUAAUAUUUCGAGAUAAAUUAUUAUACUUUAAAAAGUAAAAAAAAUUAGAUCAAGGUGCAGCCAAUAAACAAGUUGAAAUGGGUUACAAUUAAGUAAAUAUAAUAUGAAAUAAAAUUUGAAAAGAGUUUUAGGAAAGAGGAUUUGGUUGUAAUAGGUAUUAGUAAGACAAAAAGAUAAAAGCUCUAAAUUAUGU
rnacentral:rRNA from 1 species